UACGAGGGGUGCAAGCGUUGCUCGGAAUUAUUGGGCGUAAAGGGUAGGUAGGUGGUCUCAUUUGUCUGGGGUGAAAGCCUCGAGCUUAACUCGAGAAGUGCCUCGGAAACGGUGAGACUAGAGUCUUGGAGAGGGUCGUGGAAUUCCCGGUGUAGCGGUGAAAUUCGUAGAUAUCAGAAGGAACAUCAGUGGCGAAAGCGGCUUCCUGGUCCAGUACCGACGUUCAGGCACGAAAGCGUGGGGAGCAAACAGG
rnacentral:rRNA from 1 species